UUAGUGUCACAAUUGACUGUACUCUAGCUAUCUAAAAUCAAUUAUCAAACUACAAAAUACCAAGGCUUACUACUUCUGUCUUAAUUCAAUACAUAAUCCAUUCUACAACUAUCAAUUCAACAAUACUUCCAUAUUCUUAUCAAUUCAUCUUCCACUUAUUCUCUUUAGGGUUUGUAUAUAUUCAAUUACUGAUCUCCUGCUUACUUAUUAUAUUCAGUUUCUCAAUUCAUCACACAGAAUUCAAUAUCUUCACUUAAUACAAUAUAAUUCGAUAAUCUCAAUUCUCAAGGUCAUAUAUUUUUUCCAAAAUGGUCAGUCCAAAGUCAUAUUCCAUAAUAUUCUAAUCAUAGUUUCAACAAUACUUUUCUCAAUCAUAAUUCUUUAUAAGAAAAUAAUAAAAAUAAAGAAAACAAAGAGGUAGCACCAAGCUUAUUCCGGCUUAUGACUCUCACAGUCUAGCUCCCCAAUCUUUCUUUUCUCAACCUCUUUGUCCUACCAAAAGAUGGAUCAUCGGCCAACAGAUUCCAAAGGUUAUGAUCCUUUGAAU
rnacentral:lncRNA from 1 species